GGACCCGCACAAGCGGUGGAGCAUGUGGUUUAAUUCGAUGCAACGCGAAAAACCUUACCUACUCUUGACAUACUUGGGAGCUCUUGUAAUGAGAGUGUGCCUUAUGGAACCAAGAUACAGGUGCUGCAUGGCUGUCGUCAGCUCGUGUCGUGAGAUGUUCCGUUAAGUCGGAUAACGAGCGCAACCCUUACCCUUAUUUGCCAGCGAUUCGGUCGGGAACUAUAAGGGGACUGCCGGUGAUAAACCGGAGGAAGGUGAGGACGACGUCAAGUCAUCAUGGCCCUUACGAGUAGGGCUACACACGUGCUACAAUGGGGAAUACAGACGGACGCUAAGCCGCGAGGUGGUGCUAAUCCGAGAAAGCCGGUCGUAGUCCGGAUUGGGGUCUGCAACUCGACCCCAUG
rnacentral:rRNA from 1 species